AUGAACGCUGGCGGCGUGCCUAAUACCUGCCAGUCGAGCGAACGGACGAGAAGCUUGCUUCUCUGAUGUUAUCGGCGGACGGGUGAGUAACACGUGGAUAACCUACCUAUAAGACUGGGAUAACUUCGGGAAACCGGAGCUAAUACCGGAUAAUAUUUUGAACCGCAUGGUUCAAAAGUGAAAGACGGUCUUGCUGUCACUUAUAGAUGGAUCCGCGCUGCAUUAGCUAGUUGGUAAGGUAACGGCUUACCAAGGCAACGAUGCAUAGCCGACCUGAGAGGGUGAUCGGCCACACUGGAACUGAGACACGGUCCAGACUCCUACGGGAGGCAGCAGUAGGGAAUCUUCCGCAAUGGGCGAAAGCCUGACGGAGCAACGCCGCGUGAGUGAUGAAGGUCUUCGGAUCGUAAAACUCUGUUAUUAGGGAAGAACAUAUGUGUAAGUAACUGUGCACAUCUUGACGGUACCUAAUCAGAAAGCCACGGCUAACUACGUG
rnacentral:rRNA from 1 species